GGUAUUGUUGCAAUAAACUGACAACUUGUUAUUACCCACCAUUGAUUGCAACAUCAACAAAUGUAAUUAAACAUAAUGACAGAAAGAUUUGGAAAGCUUUUACACUGCUUGAAUCCCACAUUUAGUUUUUCUAACAUUAACUGUAAUAACUGUGGUUUCCGAAAGUCACUGUGGUGAAUUUCUCUCAGUGUGCUGGGAAAGACUCAUCCCAGCAAAAUACAGACCGCAUGACAGACAUUCACUGGUAAUUUAUGUAAGAAAUAUGUGUUUUUCUGUGGGACUUGUGCAGCCACCAGCUCCCAACCCUCCAGAGGAGGAGACCGAUGAAGAGAAGGGUUUGAGGAGGCUGUUUGAACAGAUCGCUGGCUCGGAUAAAGCCAUCAGUGCCAGAGAACUGCAGCAGGUGCUGAACGGCGUUCUGAGCAGGAGGAAAGAGGUGAAGUUUGACGGUUUGACCCUCAACACCUGCCACAGCAUCAUAAACCUCAUGGAUGUUGAUAACACAGGAAUGCUGGAAUUCGAGGAGUUCAAAGUGUUCUGGGAUAAACUGAAGAAAUGGAUGAUGCUGUUCCUCUCUUUUGAUACGGAUCGUUCAGGACGCAUGUCCUCCUAUGAGCUCCGCAGUGCUCUUAACGCUGCAGGGAUGCAUUUGAACACAAAGCUUUUGCAGUUGAUUUGUCUCAGGUUUGCUGAUGAGCAUUUUGACAUUGAUUUUGAUGAUUACCUGACCUGCAUCGUUCGCCUGGAGAAUAUGUUCCGUAAGUGGGCGUGGCCAACAUGAGACAAACAUUUGGGGCCAUAUGUUCUAGGUUCUGUCUAGUCUUUAAAUAGCUUUUUUCUUCUAUCAAACAACAUACUUUGUAGGCCAUUUAAGAUGAUGUAAGUAGUACAACAAUUAUUGUGUUCCAAAAACAUGUGCAACGUAAAUAAAACUUGAAAACCACUUAUUUCAAUGCAUGUAUUGUCCUUUGUUCCAGGGGUUUUUCAGGCCUUUGACAGGCAAAAGACAGGAGAAAUCAGCCUAAACAUUCAACAGUUCCUGUUUUUGUCCAUGAAUGUCUGAAGAUUUCACCAAAUGAGAGAGAAGAAAAGGACAAAGACGUUUUAGAUGGAGUCAGUUGUGCCACUGUGGAUUUUGAGUGUUGAAUACACUUGUUUGUUUGUUUGUUUGUUUAGGGUUCUUUCCCAUUAGGCCUACUUCUGAAUAUGGGUUUAUAAGAGUUUUGCUGUGAUUAAAACUUUCAUGAAACUGUUUUGUAAACAAAGUCUCCGUGUUGUGUUCUUGGUGUUUAUGCUGUUUUGUUUUAGGGUGAUUUGAGGUAUAUUCACCUUUUAUAUUUGUUGCAACUUGCUGAAAUUGUUUUAUAUUCAGCUUUCAGCUAUAAUUUGCAUGUAAGAAUGAACA